rnacentral:misc_RNA from 1 species
CACAGAAUUAUUGAUUCUACUAUUCCCAGGUGAUCUGCAUGGUCCCAAUAUACAACAUCAACUUAUGUACUAAACUGCCAUAUAUAUGACUAUGAUAGGGAAUUCAAUUGAACNNUCUCAGCCAAUACACACAUUAACUCUCAUUUACUUUCAGAAAGGAAACAGGAAAUAUGAUUAUCUACUCGAUUGAAGCCGCAUCUACUUCUCCAAGCUCUCCAGCCUCCG